UUCAUCACGAAUUUUUGUUCACCUUAUCUAAUUUUCCCUCUCGUGAUUAUUAUUUUCGUUGAUUUUUUUGUUGGUCAAAGAUUUUGAAACGGAUCGCUAUGGCAAUUGCUUCGGAAGAAACCACCCGCAUAUGCAAUCACUGUGACAGGGCUAUACCUUCUUCUAACAUCGAGUUGCAUUAUGCUCAUUGCUCCCGUAAUCUA